rnacentral:rRNA from 1 species
AUGAUGGGACCGGCAGGUGCUGGGAGAGGAGGCCUGAGGCAGGCGGCCUCGGCUCUCUCUCCUUCGGGCGUGGCGGCGGCGGCCGCGCCUUCUGUGGCGUUGGGGGAGGUGGGUUUGGGGCAGGCGGCCCUGACUCCUCCUUCCUCGCCGGCGGUCAGGAGGACCGCAUCUCCUUCGGUUGUGGCGGCGCCCGCGCCUUCUGUGGUGUUGGGGGAGGGGGGUUUGGGGCAGGCGGCCCUGACUCCUCUUUCCUCGCCGGCGGUCAGGAGGACCGCAUCUCCUUCGGCUGUGGCGGCGCCCGCGCCUUUUGUGGCGUUGGGGGAGGGGGGUUUGGGGCAGGCGGCCCUAACUCCUCCUUCCUCGUCGGCGGUCAGGAGGUCCGAGCCUCUUCCCAGCGUACCCGUUGCUAUGGGUCUCGGCUUGGGGCACUUGUCCGAGGGGCAUGGGAGCCCGCUGCCGCCUCCUCCGGUAUCCUUGGUUGACCCUUCGUGGGUUUCAGCGCGAGGAGUUACUAGGGAGGAGGUCGUUGCUUUUGGCGGGAUCCCGGACCCGGCCUCGACGGGGAGGCGGAUGAGUGCUCGCAUUCAGGAGCUUCCGGAGGUUGAUGACAUGCAGCAGAGGUGCGCUAUGAGGGCGGCCAAGCUUCAUGAUGCUGCGAUCUCUACUGGUUAUUUUCCGAGCCACGGCCGUGAUCCGUUCAUGGUCGCUACUCACUCCGAUGGAGGCCAGGGAGCAUUUGGUUACUGGAUCUAUCCGCUGGGAGAUGGUAGCUCGGGAUAUCUUCAACCGGUUUGGAUGGCGGUCAUGUAA